UCCGGCUUGUCGCCGGCGGUCCCUUUAGAGUGCCCAACUUAAUGAUGGCAACUAAAGGCGAGGGUUGCGCUCGUUGCGGGACUUAACCCAACAUCUCACGACACGAGCUGACGACAGCCAUGCACCACCUGUGCACCGGUCCCGAAGGAGGGCCGUAUUUCUACGGAUUUCCGGUGCAUAUCAAGCCCUGGUAAGGUUCUUCGCGUUGCAUCGAAUUAAACCACAUGCUCCGCUGCUUGUGCGGGCCCCCGUCAAUUCCUUCGAGUUUUAGCCUUGCGGCCGUACUCCCCAGGCGGGACACUUAAUGCGUUAGCUGCGGCACGGGAGGAGUCGACACCUCCCACACCUAGUGUCCAUCGUUUACGGCGUGGACUAC
rnacentral:misc_RNA from 1 species